rnacentral:lncRNA from 1 species
GCUAAUUUUUUGAUAAUUAUACAAUUUUAUAACCCUAGCGUUUAAUGUUUAGGUAUGAAUAUAUGUAUAUAUACAUAUGCAUAUGAGUAAUAAAUAUGUAUAUGCGUAAGUAUAUAUGUAUGUAUAUGCGUAAGUAUAUAGGGUUUAGGUUUUAACCCUAGGGUUUAGGAUCUAGGUUUUAACCCUAGGUUUUAGGGUUUAGAUUUAAGGGUUUAAGGUUUAAUAUAUGUAUACGUAUAUAUGUAUAUAUAUGCGUAAGUAUAUAGGGUUUAGGGUAUAAGUAUAAUUAUACAAUUUGUAUUACUAAAACUUUCAAAUUUUUUUACAAUUUUUAAAAAAUUUAAAUAUAUAAUCGUAAUAUCAUUAGUUUCGUAUAUAUCUACAAAUUUUAUAAAUAUUGUUUAGGCUAAUUUUUUGAUAAUUAUACAAUUUUAUAACCCUAGCGUUUAAUGUUUAGGUAUGAAUAUAUGUAUAUAUACAUAUGCAUAUGAGUAAUAAAUAUGUAUAUGCGUAAGUAUAUAUGUAUGUAUAUGCGUAAGUAUAUAGGGUUUAGGUUUUAACCCUAGGGUUUAGGAUCUAGGUUUUAACCCUAGGUUUUAGGGUUUAGAUUUAAGGGUUUAAGGUUUAAUAUAUGUAUACGUAUAUAUGUAUAUAUAUGCGUAAGUAUAUAGGGUUUAGGGUAUAACCCUAGGGUUAGGGUUUAGGGUUUAACCCUAGAGUUACGGUUUAGGGUUUAAACCUGGGGUUUAGGGUUAUAUAAAUAUUGGGUUAGGGUUUAAACUAUGAAUUAUAUAAAUAUAUGCAUAUGAGUAAUAAAUAUGUAUGAAUAUGCAUAAGUAUAUGGGGUUUAGGGUUUAGGGUUUAACCCUAGGGUUUAGAGUUUAGGUAAAUUGGGUUUAACCUUAGGGUUAGGGUUUAGGUUAGGGUUUAGGGUUUAACUCUAGGGUUAGGGUUUAGGGUUUAACCCUAGGGUUAGGGUUUAGGGUUUAACCCUAGGGUCAGGGUUUAGGGUUUAACCCUAGGGUUAAGGUUUCGGUUAGGGUUUAGGGUUUAACCCUAGGGUUAGGGUUUAGGGAUUAACCCUAGGGUUAGGGUUUAGAGUUUAACCCUAGGUUUAGGGUUUAGGUAUGAAUAUGUUUAUGUAUAUAUGCAUAUGUAUAUAUGUAUAUAAGUAUGUAUAUGUGUAAGUAUAUAGGAUGCGUAAGUAUAUAGGGUUUAGGGUCUAGGUUUUAACCCUAAGGUUUAGGGUUUAGAUUUAAGUGUUUAAGGUUUAAUAUAUGUAUACGUAUAUAUGUAUAUAUAUGCGUAAGUAUAUAGGGUUUAGGGUAUAACCCUAGGGUUAGGGUUUAGGGUUUAACCCUAGAGUUAGGGUUUAGGGUUUAAACCAAGGGUUUAGGGAUUAGCUAUGAAUUAUAUAAAUAUAUGCAUAUGAGUAAUAAAUAUGUAUGAACAUGCAUAAGUAUAUUGGGUUUAGGGAUUAGGUUUUAACCCUAGGUUUAGGGUUUAGGUAUGAAUAUGUUUAUGUAUAUAUGUAUAUAAGUAUGUAUAUGCGUAAAUGUAUAGGAUUUAGGGUUUCGGUUUUAAUUCUAGGGUUUAGGGUAUAGGUUUUAACCCUAGGGUUUAGGGUUUAACCCUAGGGUUAGAGUUUUGGUUAGGGUUUAGGGUUUAACCCUAGGGUUAGGGUUUCAGUUAGGUUUAGGGUUUAACCUUAGGGUUAGGGUUUAGGGUUUAACCCUAGGGUUAGGGUUUCGGUUAGGGUUUAGGGUUUAACCCUAGGGUUAGGGUUUAGGGUUUAGGGUGUAACCCUAGGGUUAGGGUUUAGGGAUUAAUCCUAGGAUUAGGGUUUAGAGUUUAACCCUAGGGUUAGGGUUUAGGAUUUAACCCUAGGGUUUAGGGUUCUGGGUUUACCCCUAGGGUUUAGCCAUGAAUAUAUAUGUAUUCAUGCAUAAGAGUAAUAAAUAUGUAUGAAUAUGCAUAAGAAUAUAGGUUUAGGGUUUGAGUUUUAACCCUAGGUUUGGGGUUUAGGUAUGAAUAUGUUUAUGUAUAUAUACAUAUAUACAUAUGCAUAUAAGUAUGUAUAUGUGUAAGUAUAUAGGAUGCGUAAGUAUAUAGGGUUUAGGGUCUAGGUUUUAACCCUAGGGUUUAGGGUUUAGAUUUAAGGGUUUAAGGUUUAAUAUAUGUAUAUAUAUGCGUAAGUAUAUAGGGUUUAGGGUAUAACCCUAGGGUUAGGGUUUAGGGUUUAACCCUAGAGUUAGGGUUUAGGGUUUAAACCAAGGGUUUAGGGAUUAGCUAUGAAUUAUAUAAAUAUAUGCAUAUGAGUAAUAAAAAUGUAUGAAUAUGCAUAAGUAUAUUAGGUUUAGGAUUUAGGUUUUAACCCUAGGUUUAAGGUUUAGGUAUGAAUAUGUUUAUGUAUAUAUGCAUAUGUAUAUAUGUAUAUAAGUAUGUAUAUGCGUAAAUGUAUAGGAUUUAGGGUUUAGGUUUUAAUUCUAGGGUUUAGGGUUUAGAGCUUAGGUAUGAAUACAUGUAUAUAUCUAUGUAUAUGCAUAAGUAUAUUGGGUUUAGGAUUUAACCGUAGGGUUUUUAGGGUUUAAUAUAUGUAUACGUGUAUAUGUAUAUAUGUAUGUAUACGUAUAUACGUAUAUAUGUAUAUAUAGGGUUAGGGUAUAACCCUGGGGUUAGGGUUUAGGGUUUAACCCUAGGGUUAGGGUUUAGGUUAGGGUCUAGGGUUUAGGGUUUAACCCUAGGGUUAAGGUUUAGUUAGGGUCUAGUGUUUAGGGUUUAACCUUAGGUUUAGGGUUUAACCCUAGGGUUAGGGUUUAGGGUUUAACCCUAGGGUUAGGGUUUAGGGUUUAACCCUAGGGUUAGGGUUUAGGGUUUAACCCUAGGGUUAAGGUUUAGGGUUUAACCCUCGGAUUAGGGUUUCGAGUUUAGGUUUUAACCCUAGGUGUAGGGUUUAGGUAUGAAUAUGUUUAUGUAUAUAUGAGUAUAAAUAUGUAUAUGCGUAAAUAUAUAGGGUUUAGGGUUUAGGUUUUAACCCUAGGGUUUAGGAUUUAGAGUUUAGGUAUAUUGGGUUUAACUCUAGGGUUAGGGUUUAGGGUUUAAACCCUAGGGUUAGGGUUUAGGUUAGGGUUUAACCCUAGGGUUAGAGUUUAGGGUUUAACCCUAGGGUUUAUGGUUCUGGGUUUACCCCUAGGGUUAGGGUUUAGCUAUGAAUAUAAGUAUAUAUAAAUAUAUGCAUAUGAGUAAUAAAUAUAAUAUAAGUAUAUAUAAAUAUAUGCAUAUGAGUAAUAAAUAUGUAUGAAUAUGCAUAAGUAUAUAGGUUUAGGGUUUGGGUUUUAACCCUAGGUUUAGAGUUUAGGGUUUAGGUAUGAAUAUAUGUAUAUAUGUUUAUAUGUAUGUAUAUGCGUAAGUAUAUAGGAUUUAGGGUUUAGGUUUUAACCCUAGUGGUUUAGGGUUUGGGUUUUAACCCUAGGGUUUAGGGUUUAUGUAUGUAUAUAUUUAUGUAUAUGCUUAAAUAUAUAGGGUUUAGAGUUUAGGAUUUAAUUCUAAGGUUUAGGGUUUAGGUUUUAAUCCUACGGUUUAGGUAUGAAUAUAUGUAUAUGUAUAUUUAUAUAUGAAUAUAUGCAUAUGCGGAAGUAUAUAUGUAUUUAUGCAUAAAUAUAUAGGGUUUGGAGUUUUUUUUGGGUUUAAGAUUUAAGUUUUAACCAUAGGGGGUUUAGGUAUGAAUAUAUGUAUAUGUAUAUAUGUAUAUAUAUGCGUAAGUAUAUAGGGUUUAGGCCAAUAAAUAUGUAUGUGUGUAUGUAAAAUAUGCAUGGUAUAUAUAUAUGUAUAUGCGUCUGAAUAUAUGCUUAUAUAUAUGCAUAAGUAUAUAUAUAUGUAUAUGUGUAAGUAUAUAAGGUUUAUGGUUUAACCCUAUCGUUUAGGUGUUUCAACCCUAGGGUUUAAUUCUAGAGUUAGGGUUUUAACCCUAGGAUUUAGGGUUUACGUAUAAAUAUAUGUAUAUGUAUAUUUAUAUAUGUAUAUACGUGUUGCUCAAAAAAUAUAUGUAUAUGCAUAAUUACGUAGAGUUUAGGGUUUAGAGUUAUAUAUAUAUAUAUAUGUAUAUAUGUUUUGACCAAAUAUAUAUAUAUGUUUCCGUAAAAUAUAUUUGUAUAUAUAUUUGCGUAAGUAUAUAGGGUUUAGAUUUUAGGUUUU